rnacentral:rRNA from 1 species
UUCCUCAGGACUCAGAUUGAAUUUUGAUCAUGACUUCUAGCUGAGCCAGGAUCAAGACUCUUUGACGUUAGCGGCGGACGGGUGAGUAACACGUGGGCAACCUACCCUAUAGUUUGGGAUAACUCCGGGAAACCGGGGCUAAUACCGAAUAAUCUCUUUUGCUUCAUGGUGAAAGACUGAAAGACGGUUUCGGCUGUCGCUAUAGGAUGGGCCCGCGGCGCAUUAGCUAGUUGGUGAGGUAACGGCUCACCAAGGCGACGAUGCGUAGCCACACCUGUGAAGAGGGGUGAGUCUGGAGCUCACCACCUGGAACUUGAGACACGGCCCAGGACUCUCCUUACCGGGAGGCAUGCCAAGUAGAGGAAAUUCUUUCCACAAUGGUUGCGAAAACCUGAUAAGGAGCAAAGCCCCACUGGAAGUGCAAGAAGAGUUUUAAGAUCGCUAAAACUCUGUUGUAAUGGGAAGAACAAGUACAGUAGUAAACUGGCUGUACCUUGACGGUAUCCUUAUUAGAAAGCCACGGCUCAACUUACGUGCCAGCAGACGCCGGUAAUACAGUAGGUGGCAAGAGUUAUUCCGGAAUUUAUUGGGUCAUAAAGGCGCGCGCAGACGGUCCAUUAAGUCUGAUGUGGAAAGCCCACGGCUCAACCGUGGAGGGUCAUUGGAAACUGGGGGACUUGAGUGCAGAAGAGGAAAGUGGAAUUCCAAGUGUAGCGGUGAAAUGCGUACAGAUUUGGAGGAACACCAGUGGCGAAGGCGACUUUCUGGUCUGUAACUGACGAUGAGGCGCGAAAGCGUGGGGAGCAAACAGGAUUAGAUACCCUGGUAGUCCACGCCGUAAACGAUGAGUGCUAAGUGAUAGGGGGUUUCCGCCCCUUAGUGCUGCAGCUAACGCAUUAAGCACUCCGCCUGGGGAGUACGGGCGCAAGACUGAAACUCAAAGGAAUUGACGGGGGCCCGCACAAGCGGUGGAGCAUGUGGGUUAAUUCCAAACAACCCCGAAGAACCUUACCAGGGUCUUGACAUCCCGGUUGACCACUGGUAGAGAUAAAGUUUCCCCCUUCGGGGGCAACGGUGACAGGGUGGUGCAAGGGUUGCCCCCAGCUCCGGGCCCUGAGAAUGUUGGGUUAAGUCCCGCCAACGAGGCGCAACCCUUGGAUCUAAGUGGCCAUCAUUUGAGUUGGGCCACCCAAAGGUGAACGGCCGGGGAAAAACCCGGAAGAACGGUUGGGAAUAACGUCAAAUUCAUCAUGGCCCCUUUAGGACCUGGGCUUUACACACGUGCUACAAUGGACGAUACAAACGGUUGCCAACUCGCGAGAGGGAGUUAAUCCGAUAAAGUCGUUCUCAGUUCGGAUUGUAGGCUGCAACUCGCCUACAUGAAGCCGGAAUCGUUAGUAAUCGCGGAUCAGCAUGCCGCGGUGAAUACGUUCCCGGGCCUUGUACACACCGCCCGUCACACCACGAGAGUUUGUAACACCCGAAGUCGGUGAGGUAACCUUUGGAGCCAGCCGCACAUAGAGAAGAGGAAAAGAAUCGCC